GUCUACGGCCACGCCACCCUGAAAAAGCCCGAUCCCGUCUGAUCUGGGAAGCUAAGCAGGGUUGGGCCUGUUUAGUAUUUGGAUAGGAGACCACCGAGGAAGACCAGGUGCUGUAGGCA
rnacentral:rRNA from 1 species